rnacentral:rRNA from 1 species
AACGGCGAGUGAAGCGGUAACAGCUCAAAUUUGAAAUCUGGCCUCACGGUCCGAGUUGUAAUUUGUAGAGGAUGCUUCGAGCAUGGUCUGGCCUAAGUUCCUUGGAACAGGACGUCAUAGAGGGUGAGAAUCCCGUAUGCGGCCAGGUGCCUACGCUCAUGUGAAGCUCCUUCGACGAGUCGAGUUGUUUGGGAAUGCAGCUCAAAAUGGGUGGUAAAUUUCAUCUAAAGCUAAAUAUUGGCCAGAGACCGAUAGCGCACAAGUAGAGUGAUCGAAAGAUGAAAAGCACUUUGGAAAGAGAGUUAAACAGUACGUGAAAUUGUUGAAAGGGAAGCGCUUGCAACCAGACUUGCGCGCGGCCGAUCAUCCGGUGUUCUCACCGGUGCACUCGGCCGUGCUCAGGCCAGCAUCGGUUUUGGCGGCUGGAUAAAGGCCCUAGGAAUGUAGCUCCUCUCGGGGAGUGUUAUAGCCUAGGGUGCAAUGCAGCCUGCUGGGACCGAGGACCGCGCUUCGGCUAGGAUGCUGGCGUAAUGGUUGUAAGCGGCCCGUCUUGAAACACGGACCAAGGAGUCUAACAUCUAUGCGAGUGUUUGGGUGUCAAACCCAUACGCGUAAUGAAAGUGAACGGAGGUGAGAACCCUUAAGGGUGCAUCAUCGACCGGUCCUGAAGUUUACGGAAGGAUCUGAGUAAGAGCAUAGCUGUUGGGACCCGAAAGAUGGUGAACUAUGCCUGAAUAGGGUGAAGCCAGAGGAAACUCUGGUGGAGGCUCGCAGCGGUUCUGACGUGCAAAUCGAUCGUCAAAUUUGGGUAU